AUUGAACGCCGGCGGCAGGCCUAACACAUGCAAGUCGAGCGGCAGCGGAAAGUAGCUUGCUACUUUGCCGGCGAGCGGCGGACGGGUGAGUAAUGUCUGGGAAACUGCCUGAUGGAGGGGGAUAACUACUGGAAACGGUAGCUAAUACCGCAUAACGUCGCAAGACCAAAGAGGGGGACCUUCGGGCCUCUUGCCAUCAGAUGUGCCCAGAUGGGAUUAGCUAGUAGGUGGGGUAAUGGCUCACCUAGGCGACGAUCCCUAGCUGGUCUGAGAGGAUGACCAGCCACACUGGAACUGAGACACGGUCCAGACUCCUACGGGAGGCAGCAGUAGGGAAUAUUGCACAAUGGGCGCAAGCCUGAUGCAGCCAUGCCGCGUGUAUGAAGAAGGCCUUCGGGUUGUAAAGUACUUUCAGCGGGGAGGAAGGUGUUGAGGUUAAUAACCUCAGCAAUUGACGUUACCCGCAGAAGAAGCACCGGCUAACUCCGUGCCAGCCGCCGCGGUAA
rnacentral:rRNA from 1 species